AGGCUGGUGAUGCGGAGGAGAGAUGGGUGAAGGGAGGCGGACGGGAAACAAAAGACGGCCAGACGAACGCCUGCGAGCGCGCGAUCGCACAGAUGGGUGCUUCACGACGCACGCUGACAAUAAACAGCGCCCUCCUGACAGGAGCGCGGCAGCGAUUUUCAGAUUCCCAGGCCUGCUGCUGAGCUGGAAUGCCAAAACACUGCUCCGGCCAGGGAAUCUCUCCAGCUACGUGACUGAGGAGGUUAUGGGGGAACAGCACACGAACAUAAAGGCACAGACGCCGUCACGAAUGCAACUAAUGACGCACUAACGGCUUAAUCCUGUCAUUUUAUUAUUCCGUGCGCUUGCAUUCACAGGGCAACAGCACAAUGUGUAGAUUCGAGGCUUUCAGCACAGACAGUGACAUAUUACGAACAUUAUGUUGUAUUCAUAAACUUGUAUUGGGAGCUUGCGUCGGAGCCACGCUGCCGUCCUAGAAAGACGACGCAGAUAUAAAGGUUCAACCCAGACUGCAACGCGAUAGGAAACACCUCUCCUCUGACCCCGAUCUCUCACUCAUAUCACUCGGCUGCCACGUCUCCAGGCGUCUCCUUACACACACACCUACAUAAAUGCAGCGCAGUCACGCAACCGCCCGCCUCACACACGCACAGGUCACGCGUCCUGUUUGGUUAGAGAAGCUUCUCCGGCGCGCGUCCAUUUAUCACCCGGUCCGAAGUUCUGCUUUUGGACUCCGCAACAAACAGCUGAAUGUGGGCAAAGCGUCGGAUGGUUACUUCACCGCAUCGUGACCUAAUGCUUCUCAACGGAUCAGGCUUUGCUGUUUUGUGUAAACUUUGUGUAAAACAUGAUGUUGGAGGUUAUAGUAACUGUCAGUUCAAGGUAUUUCAAAUUUCCAUUUGCUGGAACCAAUUACGAUUUACUUGAAGUCAUUACAGUUGCUGUUUAACUGCUGAAAUGGUUGAAAGUAUUAUAUAUUUCUGGCAAUAAAAUGUUUUCAUAUUAAGUAAAA